AUGGCAGCAGAUGGGAGCGGAGCAGCCGCCCAGCUCGCCAGUGGCUGCGGCGUGCCAGGUAGCCGGGGUCCUGCCGGUGCAGGGCCCACGGGCGCCGAGCCCAGCCUGUGCUCGGGAUGGUUCUGCCAGGGGAAAUCCAUCUGCCCAGCUCCGACAGGAUGCUGGAAGGUACCACUGCUUUGCCAAAGCCCUGCUCUAAAAAUGCAGUCGUGCAGAAGUGAUGCUGCCCGUUCUGCUCCUGCACUUAACCCUUCGGGCCCUGCCGGAGCCCAACGUGUCCCGCCAGCCGCAGCGGGGCUGUCUGCACCCAGAAGGGCUCCGGGAUCUGUCCCAGCCGGGGUCACCUCUCCCUGGGGCCUCCCGAUAACCGUGUGGGCCGCCAGGAACCUGGCACCCUGCGCGCUCUCUAGGGUGGCUUUUGGUGGGGAAAGGAGGCUCGGGACGUCAUGUUGGGGUCUGUCCCAUUCUUCUGCCCGAAAGCAGGGGCUGUGGGUGCUCCGGUGGUGGCACCAGGGCUGCUGGGAUUCAGGGGCAUUGAGCCGUGUCCCGCUGUGUCGCUCCUCACCCUGCAGAUGGGUCACGGGGGGCUCACACGGUGCAGGAGCCGAGGAUGCAGCAUCGCAGCCAGAUCUGCAGCCCCGGGAAGGGGUGAGGACACCCUGGGGCUGCUCUCCCCCCCUGGCACCAGGGAGCUGGCAGCUCUCUGGGUGGGGUGAAGCAGCUCGUGUCCCUCCAGAGCCCCGUGCCAUGCCCUGGGCCAUCACGGCACCCCAGCUCUGCCCGCUCCGGGGGUGUUCCCCAGCCCCUCCUGGCUUGGGACGGUGCCCUAAUGCCUGUGAGCUCCUCGUGCAGUGGCCAUGGGGCUUGUUGCUGGCCGUGGGGCUCGUUGCCACGGGGCACGGAGCCCCUGCAGCACCUCCUGGGCUCCCCUGCACCCCUCCGCUGCAGUGCUGGCAUGCCCCAGCCCCAGCCCUGCCUGGGGAGCCGGGCCCUUGGUGCCUCAAGGGGAGCGCUCGUUAA
rnacentral:lncRNA from 1 species